rnacentral:rRNA from 1 species
UACGGGGGGGGCAAGCGUUGUUCGAAAUUACUGGGCGUAAAGGGCUCGUAGGCGGCCAACUAAGUCGGAUGUGAAAUCCCCAGGCUUAACCUGGGAACUGCAUCCGAAACUGCUGGGCUAGAGUGUGGUAGAGGGCGGUAGAAUUCCAGGUGUAGCGGUGAAAUGCGUAGAUAUCUGGAGGAACACCGAUGGCGAAGGCAGCCGCCUGGGCCACAACUGACGCUGAGGUACGAAAGCGUGGGGAGCAAACAGG